GACGUAGGGCGCGAGCGUUGUCCGGAUUUAUUGGGCGUAAAGGGCUCGUAGGCGGUUUGUCGCGUCGGGAGUGAAAUCCACUGGCUUAACUGGUGGCUUGCUUUCGAUACGGGCAGACUGGAGGUAUGCAGGGGAGAACGGAAUUCCUGGUGUAGCGGUGAAAUGCGCAGAUAUCAGGAGGAACACCGGUGGCGAAGGCGGCCUUCUGGGCCUGUUCUGACGCUGAGGAGCGAAAGCGUGGGGAGCAAACAGG
rnacentral:rRNA from 1 species